UUGGGGUGCUUGCAAGUGCAGGCUGAGAUUAUACCCUCGGAACCUGACCCGGAUAAUACCGGCGAAGGAAAUUUGA
rnacentral:ncRNA from 1 species